rnacentral:lncRNA from 1 species
UCACAUCUAUAGUUCUUCCAUAUUUAAAAAUAUUAAUAAAACUUAUAUCAAAGGCACCUACAUUUUGUGAGAGUACCUCCUCUUUUAUACCUCUAUAAUCUUACUUUAUAGAUGUACUUCUCCAAAAUCCUUAAAUCCUUCAAUAAUUCUUAUCAAUGGCUUUUCUUUCAACCUAUCUUGAUUUUGUUCAUACUUAAGAGGCACAAUUAGAAAUUGUACCGCUUUCCUUUCAUCUUCACUAGAUAUCCAUACAUAAGCUGAACCAUCAUCAAGUACUUUUGUUUUCAUCU